GGGAUUCCUACUUCCUGGGUUUCCUGCAGUGUGUCAAGUGCCAGGCGCCAGGAGAUGCCCCACACAUUUCUUAAUAAACUGAUGUCCAAGAGCCUCUCCUUUCACAGGCUGGAGCUCUACGAUGAACAGGAGCUCUCCGUGUUUGCAAGACGGACUCCUAAGGCUGGUCAGGAUCUCCCUGAGAAGGUCACAUUGAACCUGAGCCCUGGUAAAUAACCUGGAGGAACAGCACUGCAGACAGAUGGAACAGCAUUACCGAGGCUCUGGGGAGAGAGGAGCGAUUUUGGGGAGAAUCACUGCAGGAGAGAACAUGUCGUUGGAGACUUUGGUUUCCAACUGCCUGCUCCACAUCUCUACUGGAGGUCUAAUAAACAUCUCAAAUCAACACAGCUGAAAAUAAAUUAUUAGUUUUCCACUUGCAGACUUGCUUCCCUUCCA
rnacentral:lncRNA from 1 species